rnacentral:rRNA from 2 species
CUGGUGUCAGCCGCCGCGGUAAUACCAGCACCUCGAGUGGUCAGGACGUUUAUUGGGCCUAAAGCAUCCGUAGCCGGCUCUGCAAGUCUUCGGUUAAAUCCACCUGCUCAACAGAUGGGCUGCUGGAGAUACUACAGAGCUAGGGAGUGGGAGAGGCAGACGGUAUUCAGUGGGUAGGGGUAAAAUCCUCUGAUCCAUUGAGGACCACCAGUGGCGAAGGCGGUCUGCCAGAACACGUUCGACGGUGAGGGAUGAAAGCUGGUGGGAGCAAACCGGAUUAGAUACCCGGGUAGUCCCAGCUGUAAACGAUGCAAACUCGGUGAUGCAUUGGCUUAUGGCCAAUGCAGUGCCGCAGGGAAGCCGUUAAGUUUGCCGCCUGGGAAGUACGGACGCAAGUCUGAAACUUAAAG